rnacentral:rRNA from 1 species
GACGAACGCUGGCGGCGUGCUUAACACAUGCAAGUCGAACGGAAAGGCCCUGCUUUUGUGGGUUGCUCGAGUGGCGAACGGGUGAGUAACACGUGAGUAACCUGCCCUUGACUUUGGGAUAACUUCACGAAACUGGGGCUAAUACCGGAUAGGAGCUCCUGCUGCAUGGUGGGGGUUGGAAAGUUUCGGCGGUUGGGGAUGGACUCGCGGCUUAUCAGCUUGUUGGUGGGGUAGUGGCUUACCAAGGCUUUGACGGGUAGCCGGCCUGAGAGGGUGACCGGCCACAUUGGGACUGAGAUACGGCCCAGAAUCCUACGGGAGGCAGCAGUGGGGAAUAUUACACAAUGGGCGGAAGCCUGAUGCAGCAACGCCGCGUGCGGGAUGACGGCCUUCGGGGUGUAAACCGCUUUCGCCUGUGACGAAGCGUGAGUGACGGUAAUGGGUAAAGAAGCACCGGCUAACUACGUG